GGCAGUAGUAGCUCAGUGGUUAAGACACUGGACUACUGAUUGAAAGUUGUGAGUUUAAAUCCCAGCACUGCCA